rnacentral:rRNA from 1 species
AUGAACGCUAGCUACAGGCUUAACACAUGCAAGUCGAGGGGCAGCAUUUUAGUUUGCUUGCAAACUAAAGAUGGCGACCGGCGCACGGGUGAGUAACACGUAUCCAACCUGCCGAUAACUCGGGGAUAGCCUUUCGAAAGAAAGAUUAAUAUCCGAUAGUAUAUUAAAACCGCAUGGUUUUACUAUUAAAGAAUUUCGGUUAUCGAUGGGGAUGCGUUCCAUUAGUUUGUUGGCGGGGUAACGGCCCACCAAGACUACGAUGGAUAGGGGUUCUGAGAGGAAGGUCCCCCACAUUGGAACUGAGACACGGUCCAAACUCCUACGGGAGGCAGCAGUGAGGAAUAUUGGUCAAUGGACGAGAGUCUGAACCAGCCAAGUAGCGUGAAGGAUGACUGCCCUAUGGGUUGUAAACUUCUUUUAUAUGGGAAUAAAGUAUUCCACGUGUGGAAUUUUGUAUGUACCAUAUGAAUAAGGAUCGGCUAACUCCGUGCCAGCAGCCGCGGUAAUACGGAGGAUCCGAGCGUUAUCCGGAUUUAUUGGGUUUAAAGGGAGCGUAGGUGGAUUGUUAAGUCAGUUGUGAAAGUUUGCGGCUCAACCGUAAAAUUGCAGUUGAAACUGGCAGUCUUGAGUACAGUAGAGGUGGGCGGAAUUCGUGGUGUAGCGGUGAAAUGCUUAGAUAUCACGAAGAACUCCGAUUGCGAAGGCAGCUCACUAGACUGCAACUGACACUGAUGCUCGAAAGUGUGGGUAUCAAACAGGAUUAGAUACCCUGGUAGUCCACGCCGUAAACGAUGAAUACUAGGUGUCGGGGAGCAUGGCUCUUCGGUGCCGUCGCAAACGCAGUAAGUAUUCCACCUGGGGAGUACGUUCGCAAGAAUGAAACUCAAAGGAAUUGACGGGGGCCCGCACAAGCGGAGGAACAUGUGGUUUAAUUCGAUGAUACGCGAGGAACCUUACCCGGGCUUAAAUUGCAUUUGAAUAAUCUGGAAACAGGUUAGCCGCAAGGCAAAUGUGAAGGUGCUGCAUGGUUGUCGUCAGCUCGUGCCGUGAGGUGUCGGCUUAAGUGCCAUAACGAGCGCAACCCUUAUCUUUAGUUACUAACAGGUUAUGCUGAGGACUCUAGAGAGACUGCCGUCGUAAGAUGUGAGGAAGGUGGGGAUGACGUCAAAUCAGCACGGCCCUUACGUCCGGGGCUACACACGUGUUACAAUGGGGGGUACAGAAGGCAGCUACCUGGCGACAGGAUGCUAAUCCCAAAAACCUCUCUCAGUUCGGAUCGAAGUCUGCAACCCGACUUCGUGAAGCUGGAUUCGCUAGUAAUCGCGCAUCAGCCAUGGCGCGGUGAAUACGUUCCCGGGCCUUGUACACACCGCCCGUCAAGCCAUGAAAGCCGGGGGUACCUGAAGUACGUAACCGCAAGGAGCGUCCUAGGGUAAAACUGGUAAUUGGGGCU